GGGAACUGGGAUUGUUUAGUUUGGAGAACAGAAGGCUCCUGGGACACCUCAUUGCAGCCUUCCAGUACUUGAAGGGAGCAUUUAAACAGGAGGGGGAACAGCUGUUUACAAGGGUGGAUAGUGAUAGGAGGAAGGGGAAUGGCUGUUUAUGAGGGUGGAUAGUGAUAGGACAAGGGGGAAUGGUUUUAAACUGAGACAGGGGAGGUUUAGGUUAGAUAUGAGGAGGAAGUUUUUCACACAGAGUUUGGUGACGCACUGGAACAGGUUGCCCAAGGAGGUUGUGGAUGCCCUGUUGCUGGAGGCAUUCAAGGCCAGGCUGGAUGUGGCUCUGGGCAGCCUGGUCUAGUGGUUGGCGACCCGGCACAUAGCGGGGGUUUGAAAC
ensembl:lncRNA